UUUUACUUGGUUUUCUAUACAGAAGGCUUGGCAGAUGCAUCUAAAUAUCCUUACACUGGUAAGAAGUCUGCUUGUAAAAAGAACAAAAACGUUGGAUGGAUCCAUGAUUUUGUAUUUCUGCAACGAAAUGAGCAAGAUAUGGCUUCUUAUGUGGCACACAAUGGCACCCUGACUGUGAUUAUUAACAAGACUCUGCUCCAGCAUUACAAGAAAGGAGUGAUAAACCCUAAAAACAAUCAAUGUGACCCAGAGCUUGUGGAUCAUGCAGUACUAAUAGUGGGAUUUG